UGGGGAAUCGUCUAAUGGCAGGACAGCUGACUCUGGAUCAGCCGAUCGUGGUUCGAAUCCACGUUCCCCAGCCA
rnacentral:tRNA from 1 species